UUGUAGUCAGAUUUGGUCAAAUUCAAAUUUACCUUUCUCACUUCCUUCUUGUGUAAUAACAGGAGUAGGAUUCCAUUCCUGUAUCUCUAAGAUGGGGGACAAAGAUGCCUGCCUCUAGAAUUGUCAUGCAGAUGAAGGAUAAUGAUGGAUGCACAUGAAGCACAACCCAGUGCCUGGCAUUUGAAAGACAGUUAAUUGUUUUACUUUGAUUCUUCUCUGAAAGUGUUUGUAAUCAGCUACAGUUCAAAAUUGCCUUGUCUUCAAGGAUAUUCAUGAAAAAGACUCUGACACGUACUCUGAAAUACAGAUUUCUGCUGAUAACUUUGUGAUCUUAUCAUUGGAUUGGCACAUUGGUAACAUACAGCUGUAUCCCUUCCUUAAACCAUAUACAAAAUCAAAUCAAGAUGGAUUAAAGACUUAAAUGUAAAACCCAAAAUUGUAAAAAUCUUGGAAGACAACCAAGGCAAUACCAUCCUGGACAUAGGAAUGGGCAAAGAUUUUAUGACAAAGGCACUGAAAACAGUCUUAACAAAACCAAAAAUUGACAAAUGGGAUCUAAUUAAACUUAAGAGCUUCUACACAACAAAAGAAAUGAUUAAGAGAGUAAACAGCUAAUCUACAAAAUGGGAUAAAAUAUUUGCAAACUAUGCAUCUGACAAAGGUUUAAUAUCCAGCAUUUAUAAGAAACGUAAUUGAAUUUACAAGAAAAGCAACCCUAUUAAAAAGUGAGCAAAGGACAUGAACAGACACUUCUCAAAAUAAGAGAUACACGUGGCUGACAAGCUUAUGAAAAACAGCUCAAUAUCACUGAGAAUUAGAGAAAUGCAAAUCAAAGCCACAGUGAGAUACCAUCUCACACCAGUCAGAAUGGCUAUUAUUAGAAAGUCAUAAAAUAACAGAUGCUGGUGAGAUUGUGGAGAAAACGAAACACUU